CUUGCAGAGCCCGCCCCGCUGCACGGCCGGGGAGCCCUUCGGUGUGCUCGAUUUGUGUUUCUUUGGACUAACAAAAGUGUAUUUUCCUCGGAAUUUCUGCCACCAAAUCGCCCAGUUUCCCCGGUGAGGGGGGAGAAGAGCAGGAGGGAGCAAUGUGAUGAAUCUAAAUGUCACUUCCCACUCCGGCCAGAAAUGUGUUUGGAACCUACGGAGGGACAAAGUGUCCUUGGAUCCAUGGUGCAUGCACAGCUGGUCUGCAAUCUGCCAUCUUCCUGGCUGUUGAUGUCCCAGACACCGAUGUGACACACUUCCAGGUAGCAAGACUAGCAUAGAAGGCCAGCACUGAGCAGCCAGGAGCACGGAGCAGCAGACAUCCAGCUGUAUAGAGGUGGUAAGUAAAGAGAAACCUGCUGGGGUUUGGGUUUGCUCAAACUGCAAUGAGACAUGUACAAGGAAACUUAAUAGCUUAAAUUACUCAAAGCUGUUGAGAAAGGGGCCUGGUGAUCAAUAAAGUGAACGUCUGAGUAAUUCUAAUAUUAAUUGUCCAAAUCUAAGGCAUGGUCUUCUUAUUAAAAAAUUUAUUAGGAUAAAAAAAUAAGAAAAAAAAUUAAAAUAAAUAGAACCGAAA